AACGCACAUUGCGCCCGCCAGCACUCUGGCGGGCAUGCCUGUCCGAGCGUCAUUUCUACCCUCGGGCCCCCCAGGGGGCCCGGUGCUGGGGGCACGGCCCAGGCCGCCCCCGAAAUGCAGUGGCGACCCCGCCGCGUCCUCCCCUGCGCAGUAGCACAAUCUCGCACCGGAAGCGCGGAGGCGGUCACGCCCGUAAAACGCCCCAACUCAACGCAGUUGACCUCGGAUCAGGUAGGAGUACCCGCUGAACUUAA
rnacentral:misc_RNA from 1 species